rnacentral:rRNA from 2 species
ACAUUUGAGUGAGUGGCGAACUGGUGAGUAACACGUGGGAAACCUGCCCAGAAGCGGGGGAUAACACCUGGAAACAGAUGCUAAUACCGCAUAACAACUUGGACCGCAUGGUCCGAGCUUGAAAGAUGGCUUCGGCUAUCACUUUUGGAUGGUCCCGCGGCGUAUUAGCUAGAUGGUGGGGUAACGGCUCACCAUGGCAAUGAUACGUAGCCGACCUGAGAGGGUAAUCGGCCACAUUGGGACUGAGACACGGCCCAAACUCCUACGGGAGGCAGCAGUAGGGAAUCUUCCACAAUGGACGAAAGUCUGAUGGAGCAACGCCGCGUGAGUGAAGAAGGGUUUCGGCUCGUAAAACUCUGUUGUUAAAGAAGAACAUAUCUGAGAGUAACUGUUCAGGUAUUGACGGUAUUUAACCAGAAAGCCACGGCUAACUACGUGCCAGCAGCCGCGGUAAUACGUAGGUGGCAAGCGUUGUCCGGAUUUAUUGGGCGUAAAGCGAGCGCAGGCGGUUUUUUAAGUCUGAUGUGAAAGCCUUCGGCUCAACCGAAGAAGUGCAUCGGAAACUGGGAAACUUGAGUGCAGAAGAGGACAGUGGAACUCCAUGUGUAGCGGUGAAAUGCGUAGAUAUAUGGAAGAACACCAGUGGCGAAGGCGGCUGUCUGGUCUGUAACUGACGCUGAGGCUCGAAAGUAUGGGUAGCAAACAGGAUUAGAUACCCUGGUAGUCCAUACCGUAAACGAUGAAUGCU